UUUUUGCUUUGAGAAUUUAAGAAGUGGUGGAAUUCCCAUUGUGGUGCAGUGGAAAUGAAUCCAACUAGGAACCAUGGGGUUUCGGGUUCGAUCCCUGGCCUCUGUCACUGGGUUAAGGAUCCGUCGGGUUCAUUAUCCACUGAGCCAUGGAGGGAACUCCCAGGAGUUAACUGGUUUCUUAAGUGGGAUGAUUCUGAGUCUUUGUGACAUUAAUAAUGCAAAGAGGGGAGUUCCCUGGUGGCUAAGUAGGUUAAGGAUCCAGUGUUGUCACUGCUGUGGCUGAGGGCACUGUUGUGGCUCAGGUUCGAUCCCUGGCCUGAGAACUUUCACAUACUGCAGGUAUGACCCCCCAAAAUAAUAACGCAAAUAGGAGGAUCAGUGGGCUCCCUGCGUGGCAAAAAGAGUUCUGCCACGAGGUUUAAGGCCUCACAGUUUCAACUGCCUCACCUCUGAGAGGAAAUAAUCAGACCUUUCUUGUGGGCCUCCCAGGAUGGUCGUGAGCAUCAGUGGAGACCUGACCUGAACGUGCUUUAGGAAAGGCAACCACGAUGCCCCACGUUCAGCAAGACCCUGUGAGGAGGGAAUCCCUGCCUCCUCUGAACGUCCCCCCUACUUCCUUCCAUGGCACUCACUGGGUUUUUGACCCUAAAACCCAUUUCGAUCAAAACAAAACCCAAUUUCCUCCCAUGGACCACUUUCUCACACCACUCCAGCCCUUCUCCUGUUCCCCAAACACAUCUUUCAGACGCCAGGCCUCUCCAUCCUCCACGGGCUGCUCCCCCCAAGGUCUUCCCCCAAGUCCUUUUUCAGGAAGGACCUUCCCCGACCACCAUUUCAGAAGGACCCUCUGCUGGUCAUCCUUCAGCCCCCUCACCUGUCUUAUUUUUGUCAACACUUCACAUUAGCUCAACUCAUCAGAUUAAUUUAUUCACAUAUGUGUUUGCAGUCCGGCCCCUGACUCUAGAAAGGAAGCUCCCUGAGGACAAGAAUCCUGGUGGCCUUGGCUGCUGUGGUCCAGUGCCUGGAAUCCAGGAGGCCUCACGACCUUUCUACUGAGUGUUAGAAGCUUUGGGAAACAGUGACUGUACUGGAAGUUCCACCAUCAUCAGGGACCCAGACACCUUUUUUUUUUUUCUGGCCACAGCCGCAGCAUGCAAAAGUUCCCAGGGCCAAGGAUCGAACCCGCACCACUGCGGUGACCAAAACCACUGCAGUGACAACGCCACCCAGAGAUUCUCAACUCUCUUUGGGGUCUUGCUUUAAACUAAAAUGGUUUUCUGUUUAUAUUACCAAGAGUACAGUAAUAAUGCUAAGUAUCCCUACUUUUGAGGACCCACAAGGAGCCUUACAAUGUGCUAGGCACUUAAUCUCUUAUUACAUUGCAGCCAAGACAAAGACACUGAGGUGCAGAGAGAACAAGUAACUUAUUCAUGGUCACACAGGUAGUAAGCAAAACUGGGAUCCCGAACCAGUCUGUUCUAAUUCUAAAAUUGAUACGAGUUCUACUAAAGCCUGCUUGAAAGUCACUUCUGAAGUCAGGACUGAGCAGCAGAGGUGGGGCCCUGCUGAGGGGACGAGGUGGCUCCCUCUCCCCUGGGGGUUCUCUGGACUCCCCAGAGGUGAAGGCACCUCCUUCUCUCACCUGGGGGCUCACGUUCACUCCUGAACUUGAAGUCCCACCCAGUUCCUGUGUUUCUCUCCAUGGCACUUAGAGCUUCUUUGGAAGAAACAGCCCAUGCAGUGAGGGGAGAUCUGGGGGAAUAAGUGGCCAGGGGGAGGAGAUACGCUUUGAUUGUUUCCCCUGCAAAUAAUGACUUGCAUCUCUGGAUUCAUGUUCUGUAACAGCAAAUGAAAAAGAUCUGUUGCUCUAAAGAGCGGGUCACCUUGGAGUGAUCAGCAUGGCUGCCAAAAUAUAAUCCCUCCACUAACAACUAAAGGUAGCCCAGACAAGUUGGUACAGGAGAAGUUUGGCUGGCGUGCACGGCGGGAAAGGCCCUCACUUACAGCCCAGGAAGCUCAGAUGGAAAUAAAAUUGCUUGCUUUUCCUUCCACGUGUCUGACAGAUCCCCCUUCCCCCAGUUUCUACAGGCUGUAUUAUAAAGGUGUCAGACCCUGUCAGAAAUGUAAUGGCAGCCACACAUUAGCAAAUAAAUAAAAAAGAACAUUCUUUUGUCCUACCUUUGAAGUUUUGUUAAGUUACUCUGAAUAGUACCCCCCACCUCUGCCAAGUUCCCUGUUUCUUGCAUAAUGAGAUACUUUCUAAUUAGCAUAUCACAAAUAUUCCUGAUCUUCUUUACAAGUCCGGAUACAUUUUUAAAUGUUUCUUUUAAAGUACAUCAGGAUUUUUCACACUCUGGAAAGAAGCAGAAGAAUUAAAGCAAGGUGUCACCUCAAUUCUCCCUUCUUUUUCCUUUUUCUUUUCUUUCCUCUCUUUUUUUCUUUUUCUUUUUAAAACUAGGAUGGAGACUUGCAGCAGUGGAAAGGUC
ensembl:lncRNA